GUGGGUAUAGUUCAAUCGGUUAGAGCGUCGGAUUGUGAUUCCGGAUGUUGUGGGUUCGAGUCCCAUUAUCCACCCCA
rnacentral:tRNA from 1 species